CCUAGUACAUAUUUCCCCCUAGUACAUAUUUUCCCCCCUAGUACAUAUAUCCCCCCCCAUUCCCCCUAGUACAUAUUUCCCCCUAGUACAUAUUUUCCCCCUAGUACAUAUAUCCCCCCCAUUCCCCCUAGUACAUAUAUCCCCCUCAUGUGAUUUUUCUACCAUUUCUACCUUCAUGUUAUUGUCCUAAAGAAACAGUUUUGCAGUGGUUUCUUCCAUAAGUUAAUGUUUAGAAGCUGCAUUUUUAUAGCCUGGUUGUCAGUCUGUUUGUGCUUUCUUGCCAACUCAUUGUAAUGGCAGUCGUAUGUACUGCAUGACGAUGACAGAAAUAUAAUUGAUAAGAGCACAACCAGAUCUGGGAACCAGGCUAGCACUUUUAUAGUGUUGAUUUUAGGAUGAUGUUUUAUUUUUUAUGAAGCGAUGUUCAUUUGAAGAACUCAAUGACUUACUUACUCCAGAGCUGCUGCGUAAAUGUCCAUGAUGUGAUUUGCGUUUGUUUUAAGAAACUGAAGAGAAUAUAAGCUCUUUUCCAAUAUCCAUACUAGCAUACUACUUAGGGAACAAACCCGUGUAUUGGGUCCUAGCAUUCUAAGUAGUAUGCUAGGAUGGACAUUGGAGCACACUCAAAGGCUCUGUUCCAAUAGCCACACUAGUGUACUGCUUAGUGAACGAUACCAGUGAAUUUGGCGUGCAUUCUAAGUAGUAUGCUAGUAUGAAUAUUGGGAGUGGAGCCUUUAAGUCCACUUGUGUGGAACAUGGGAAUGUGAUGAAGAUACACAAUGUAUAAAGACUAGUUAGUAUCUGUUUUGUCUUAUUGAGAAAGGGAAGUAAAUGUGAAAUCGAAGCCUAGUCGAACUUAAAACUUCUUGAUAUUGAAGUAACGUAACGGUUGCGUCCCAGACUGCAUUGCAUCAACCAACGGUUGCGUGUCACGUCAGCGAGCGCGUAGUCGGGCAUCGCAUUUCUAUAUCAAUGAGUUGUUUAGCAGAUAUGGAACAGAAUUACACACCUAUCCAGGCGUUGUGACUUCUGGCAAGCUUCUGCAAUGUAGUCAUCCUGGAACGUGCCCAGUGGUUCUGCAGACUGGACAUUUGUUUGACUGGACAAGGCUAUACAUAGACUUGUGAAGUUCUUCAGAUUGAGCUAUUUGCUAUAUGAUAUCAGAGUUAGUUCAUCUCUGUAAUUUGGAUAGUGUUUAUACUAGCUGUUGCUUGUUGUUAGGAAAGGUCGAGGUGAAUUACAUUUCAAUUCACUUUAGUUCAUUCAAGAAGCAAAUUCAAAUUCCAUGUCAAGAAUUUAGAAAAUCUUUAAUUAAAAAAUGAAUGGCACAUUUCAAUGUGAUUUUGAAUUUAAAAUCACUCCUUUGAAUUGAAUGAUUUGAAAUGGAAUUGGCCCGAAUCCUGAUUAGGAGACUAGUAAGUGGAAAGUGAAGCUUGUAAAUUGCAGCGUGAGCAUAUUUCUGUGUUUUUACUAUUUAAUUGUUGUAUGAUCGUAUUCCUUGAUAUUAUGGUGUAUCUUAAUGAUCUAUACACUCGUUCCUAAGUGUGUUUUUAUUCAAAUUGUUUCCGUCUCUGCUCCCCCACUCUUUCUAAACAAACGUUGUUUACUAGAGUGGCUUUUGUCUUAACUACUUAGCUGAACUUCUCUAAAUAUUGUUUUAGAUAUAGAAGGUUUCCAAGUGAUUUUAUUCCAGAUAACAAAACAAACCUUUUUAGGGCAGAUACUCAAAUGACACCCUCUUCCCUUUGUAGUGCACUAUUUUAUUCUAUAUAGGGAAUAGGGUGUGAUUUGGGAUGCACUCCCACUGGAACCUGCGCCCUGUUCUGUUCGGCUCCCUUGUUGCCUUGGAAACGCAGCUCUAGAACCACUCCUCCUGUGAGGUUGAGGCGCUCUCCCUACCUGCGUAUAUUCUCCGCCUUUAACAACUGCACCAGGAUCAGUUACUAUCUUACUUAUAAUGGAUAAGAUAGAUUUAGGUUGGAGGAACUGUUGUUAACCCUUUGAUAAAUAAGGACAGAACAUUCCAUCCUUUGUCAAUCGUUCUUAUUAAUUCUAGCCGUUGACAUCAUGAAGGACCGUAGCAUACCGGGAUAGGACAAUAGAACUGUCCAGAACUUCCCCUCUACAAAGGGUUAAUAACUGUUAGUCAACCUUCUCCUCUCCUGUCAUCCAGAUGCAGGUGCUGCAGUACUGAUGGUGCUUCUCUCUAUGCCUUAUAACCUGCUGGCUCCCGCAAUACUAAACACACAGAACUAGAACCAAUAGAAUGGAAUGUUCAAUGAGUAGAAUUCAGAUUCUAUUAGUGCUUUUCUCAGUGUUCUACACAUGAAACAUUAGUGUGGGAACCACCAACCAAAUAUCAGUGGUUUGAGGGCCUGUGUCCAUUCUAUACGUUGUCUUUCUAUGGCUAAAAAACACCUCCCGUGACAGAGCUGUGCUCACACAAAAGAAACAAUGAAUGUUAAACGAAUGUACUCUUUCUCUAAAUCAGUUGCGAUAGCGAUCGCUCGUAGCAAAUGUUCUUAAAACCCACCAAAGAUAUGUAGAAUUGCUGAUUUUAAGAUUGGACAAUAUUGGACCUUGGUGUUGUGCUUUGGGUUGAAUGUUUCACUCAUUGACUGGCACUAAACAGAGUAGAGGAAGACACCCCUUAAAUUUUUUCAAAUAAGAUUGCACAUGUGGUAGUUUUGGGCACAAUCAAAAAUAAUGAAAACACAUAAGUGAAGACCUUUGAAUACGGACCAAUUGAAUGCUUUACAAGUGUCUUCCUGUACGCUAGUAACAUCACAUAAAAAUCUAAAAAUAAAAAUGACAUAGAAAUUCCUUACAAAUAUUCACUUUUUUUAAACACGGAUUCAGACUGUUAGAACUAAGAAUCCCCCACCCCCUAUCCUUAGAGACAAAGCUUGGUAGAAAUUAGACACUUUGAAGAGCACAGAGAUGUGUGAGUGAGAUUUGCCUGUGUGGUGAGUACCAUCUUCUAGCACUAUGGUUCGGAAUGGUAUUAAGGUGCCUGUUGGUUGCAGGAUGGAUAAUUUGCCUGAUUUUGAAAAUUAGAGGUGUUUUGAAGAUGUAAAAAAACGACUAGUUCAUACAGUAGUCAGUGAACUAGGAAUUGCUGCAUGCCCAAUAGUUUGCAGUCUUAAGGCUUUGAGGUUGCCCUUUUGUUUAUAUGGUUUACGGUAACAGACAUAUCAGCAGUUGGAUCCCCUUGAAUCUUGGGUGCUCCUCUACUACACACAUGACGGUAACGGGCUGUAACAGAACUGUACAGAAAUGAAAAGCAUGUUUUUGGAUAUUUAGCUGUAGUCUUUGGAAGUUUUCCUCAUUGGGUUAUCAUUGGGAUGGCCUGGGUGCCAGUCUAUUUCUGCUCACUUGCCAACUCCUUACGGCUUGAAAAUGACAGCAAUGGAGUUGUCAAGUAACAAGAGCACAAACAGAUUUGGGACUGGAGUGAAGUUGGACCAGAAGUAGUGGUUGGUGAAUGUGAGGGUAUUUAUACACUGCCAGUAAAGUCUAGGAUAAGAACAUUAAGUAUUGGACUGUUAUGUCAAGAGAAACCAGGAAGGAACUAUUCAUAAUGAGCCGAUAAGUUCCAAUCCAGCUCUAGCCACCGCUGGCUCUGUUCAGAAGUAUUUCACUAGUAUCUAGGGAAUAUGCUGUUAUUUCAGACACCUCAAUUUGGUUUUCUGUGCAGAUAUACUUCCCCUAAGAUACGUUAUGACAUCAAUGUCCCAUCCUUCUUAAUCCCGUUCUAGUGUGAUGUCAUCCAGUCCUUACACUAGUGUCACUCCAACCCCACUGACCAGUUAGAACACCGGGCUCUUAUGAGAUGACAAUGUACAUGUAUUUUCCGACUGUAUUCAAUUCAGUUAUGUAAACAGAAUGGCCUUCUGCAUGCAUGGAAUCCACGCCUGAUUCACUAGUGCCUGUCAAUUGACCCACACAAUUUUACAUGUAUGCAUAUACACAUACUUAUGCACGCAAACACACAGUUAACAAAGAGCCACUGGUAACUUGGACAACUUCUUAUAAUACUAAACAGACAUGUAAUGACAGAUUAUUCCUAUACUGCUGCAGUUCUAUACAUCUAUAUUUCACUGCUGUCUCGCUCACUGGCAAAUACAUUGUGGAACGACGACCAAUCAAUGAAACCCAAUAAAAUUUGAAAAAAAAACCCAAAGACUGUUUCUUUUCUUAUAUCAGUGCAAUGUAAGAUGUUUUUAUUUGCGAUGAGCAGUGAAAAGCAUAUUAGCUUCGUUUUGGUCACCCACAGAAGCACCAAGGCAUAAUGCUAACUGCUUGAUAUCUUAAGAUGACAGACAGGCAUGUAAAAUACACAUGGUAAAGGCUUAACAAUGUUUGAGAUGAACACUUACCACAGAAUCCUUUACUGAAGGUACAGCACAGUGUUGAGAACAUUAAGCAUGACAUGUUAUAACCACUAUAAUACAGAACACAUGCAUAAUGUCAAAGGUUAGGUAGGCUUAACCAAUCAGUGAAAGGCAUGUAAAACAUUUAGGUUAAUCUUACGGACUAUUCAAGUUAGGUAAUGGCGUGGGUAUAGGGUCAACCAAUGCAAAAACGUACCUAUGUCCACAUAUGGGUAUUUGAUUCAAUUGCCACUCAAAUAAUGAGCAUAUUUUUUUCUUCCUUCAUAGUUGAGAAAAGGAUGGUCAGUAUUGUUAUUUGGCUUAAAGGCCACAAGAGGGCCCUAUGAGUUGAACAUUACCAGUGACUACCAUUACCAUCUUGUUAGGCCUUGGAGAGUAAAAACCAAGGGAGCAACUUCGGUUUUAGAAGUGUGUGGGGGGAGGGGGGUAUUUACAGUACCAGUCAAAAGUUUGGACACCAACUCAUUCAAGGGUUUUUCUUUAUGGGGCGGCAGCGUAGCCUUAUUUGUCAACUGGGGCGGCAGCGUAGCCUAGUGGUUAGAGCGUUGGACUAGUAACCGGAAGGUUGCGAGUUCAAACCCCCGAGCUGACAAGGUACAAAUCUGUCGUUCUGCCCCUGAACAGGCAGUUAACCCACUCUUCCCAGGCUGUCAUUGAAAAUAAGAAUGUGUUCUUAACUGGUUAAAUAAAGGUAAAAUUAAAAAAAUUAAAUUUAUUUGAACUAUUUUCUACCGAAGAAUAGUGAAGACAUCAAAACUGUGAAUUAACACAUAUGGAAUCAUGUAGUAACCAAAAAGGUGUUAUCAAAAUAUAUUUUAAAUUCUUCAAAGUAGCCACCCUUUGUCAGAUUUGUACACUCUUGGCAUUCUCUCAACCAGCUUCACCUGUAACGCUUUUCCAACAGACUUGAAGGAGUCCCCACAUAUGCUGAGCGCUUGUUGGCUGCUUUUCCUUCACUCUGCUGUCCAACUCAUCCCAAACGAUCUCAAUUGGGUUGAGGUCGGGUGAUUGUGGAGGACAGGUCAUCUGAUGCAACACUCUAGCACUCUCCUUGGUCAAAUAGACCUUACACAGCCUGGAGGUGUGUUGGGUCAUUGUCUUGAAAAAUGUAUGAUAGUCCCACUAAGCACAAACCAGAUGGGAUGGCGUAUUGCUGCAGAAUGCUGUGGUAGCCAUGCUGGUUAAGUGUGCCUUGAAUUCUAAAUAAAUCAGUUUCAUCAGCAAAGCACCAUCACACCUCCUCCUCCAUGCUUUACGAUGGGAACCACACAUGCAGAGAUCAUCUGCAUCUCACAAAGACAAGGCGGUUGGAACCAAAAUCUCAAAUUUGGACUCAUCAAGACCAAAGGACAGAUUUCCACUGGUCUAAUGUCCAUUGCUCAUGCUUCUUUCUCCAAGCAAGUCACUUCUUCUUAUUGGUGUCCUUUAGUAGUGGUUACUUUGCAGCAAUUCGACCAUGAAGGCCUGAUUCACAUCUCCUCUGAACAGUUGAUGUUGAGAUGUGUCUGUUACUUAAACUCUGAAGCAUUUAUUUGGGCUGCAAUUUCUGAGGCUGGUAACUCUAGGUCUUCCUUUCCUGUGGUUGUCCUCAUAAGAGCCAGUUUCAUCAAUAGCGCUGAUGGUUUUUGCGACUGCACUUGAAGAAACUUUCAAAGUAAUGAUGGAUUGUCAUUUCACCAAAUAGUGCUAUCUUCUGUAUAUCACCCCUACCUUGUCACAACAACAGUCUCAAACGCAUUAAGGAAAAAAAAGUCCAGAAAUUAACUUUUUACAAGGCACACCUGUUAAUUGAAAUGCAUUCUAGGUGACUAACUCAUGAAGCUGGCUGAGAGAAUGCCUUGACAGAUUUGCACACUCUUGGCAAAGGGUUGCUACUUUGAAGAAUCUCAAAUCUAUUUAGAUUUGUGUAUCACUUUUUUGGUUACUACAUGAUUCCAUGUGUGUUAAUUCAUAGUUUGUCUUCACACUCCAAACAGCCUACCCGACCGCUCUGAGGCAUGGUCCUAAAGCACACUGGUUGUCUCAUUUUGUAUCACAUUCAAAUGAUAAACCUGGGGGCAAAAAUGUCUAUCCCAAGUGAAAGUUCCACCCCUGGUAAAAAAAACACCAGUAGAAAUGCACAAUCUAAUACAAAAGCACCACUGGGUGAGAGGUUCAAACACAAGACAGAAGGAUUUGGCAUCAGCAGAGUAGAAGUAAAUCACGUGGGGGAAAAACAAACAAACAUGGUUGCAUUUACACAGGCAGUCUAAAUCUGUUCCACUGAUUCAAAAGAUCAGAAUUGCGCAGCCUAUGACCAAUAACAGUGUGGAUAAGCAACACAUACACAUUGAAUAGAAAGGCAAAGAUGAUUUUUUAAGAGUGCACAGACUUUGAAUGGAACAUGUUGAUAGGAACACAUGACAGGGUACAUUACAAGGGAAGGACAGGAAUAGGGGACACAUAUUACAAGGUACCAGUUAUGGCACAGCUAGAUAAGAAGGUUAAGUAGUACAUACAGAGCUCUUAUUUAGGUUAUGUCCCAAGUGCCACCCUAUUUAGCCUGAUCAAAAGCUGUGCACUAUGUAGGGUACCAUUUGGGACGUAUCCUUAAUGAUCCACUUGAUAUAACAUGCUUACUCGAAUGUGUUUAAAACAAGUGCACUUGAUAUUUCAAAUUUCUACACAUUUCUAAUAUUGGAAACUGUCGUCAAUUGUAAAGAGUAUAAUACCUUAGGUAGGUAGAAAUGUUAGUUCAAUCUAUUCAUAUGUUCUAUGUUAAAAUACACACAAUACUAUGGUGCUUUUUUCUCAGUUUCAUUACCUCAUUUCUUUUCCCUUAUUUUAAAUAAAACAAAAAAAAAGAAUGAAACUUUGUUAUAAACGUGUACCUCGUUUCUCAAGUUAAACUCUUUCUAGUUCUUUAUGAUAAAAACACGAAGUGAAAAAGUGAUUCAGGAAUACAAAGACGAACAAACAAGUGGUUACGUGUGUUCAGUUCUGUGUUGGGGACUGCAUUCAGUUCUGUGUUGGGGACUGCAUUCAGUUCUGUGUUGGGGACUGCAUUCAGUUCUGUGUUGGGGACU
ensembl:lncRNA